rnacentral:lncRNA from 1 species
GGCACAGGGCUGGAGGGACACAGGGGUGGCCAAACGGACAAAACCAGUGGCCAAAGGGACAAAAUCAGUGGCCAAAGGGACAAAAUCAGUGGCCAAAGGGAUGAUGGUAGGUGGUCAGAGGGGAAUUGUGAUUGGGAACUGGAAUGUUCCCAGUGCUCCCAGUUCAGAACUUGUGGAAGACAUUGAAGGUUGGACACAGGUGAAGGUGUGGUGGUAGAACCAGGUGGCACAGGGACAGGUGUGGGGGUGGAACAGGUGGCAGAGGGACAGAACAGUGCCCAAAGUGCUGCUGGCAGGAGCCUGGGAGGACACAGGGGCGCUCCCAGCGCUCCCAGUUUAGGGCAUGUGGGAGUCUCUGAGGGGCAGAGUGGGGAUGAACACAAGCACAGGUGUGCUGGACACAGGUACAGGUGUGGUAGACGCAGCUACAGGCAUGGUGGACAUGGGUACAGCUGUGGUGGUGGAACAGGUGACACAGGGACAGGUGCAGUGACAGAACCAGGUGGCAGAGGGACAGAGCAGUGCCCAAAGUGCUGUGGCAGGAGCCGGGGGCGCUCCCAGCUUGGGGCACUGGUAUUUGCUGAGGGGGCAGAGUGGGGAUGGACACAGAUACAGUCAUGGUGGACAUGGGUACAGGUGUGGUGCUGGAACAGGUGACACAGGGACAGGUGUGGUAACAGAACCAGGUGACACAGGUGCAGGUGUGGUGGUGGAACCACCUGACACAGGGACAGAUGUGGUGAUGGAAUAGGUGACACAGGUACAGAUGCAGUGACAGAACCAGGUGGCACAGGUACAGAUGCAGUGACAGAACCAGGUGGCACAGGGACAGGUGCGGUGACAGAACCAGGUGGCACAGGGACAGGUGUGGUGACAGAACCAGGCUGCAGAGAGACAGAGCAGUGCCCAAAGUGCUGUGGCAGGAGCCGGGACG